GCCUGGGUGGCUCAGUCAGUUGAGCAUCUGACUUCAGCUCAGGUCAUGAUCUCACAGUUUGUGGGUUCGAGCCCCGCAUUGGACU
rnacentral:tRNA from 1 species